UGGGGAAUAUUGCACAAUGGGCGCAAGCCUGAUGCAGCCAUGCCGCGUGUAUGAAGAAGGCCUUCGGGUUGUAAAGUACUUUCAGCGGGGAGGAAGGGAGUAAAGUUAAUACCUUUGCUCAUUGACGUUACCCGCAGAAGAAGCACCGGCUAACUCCGUGCCAGCAGCCGCGGUAAUACGGAGGGUGCAAGCGUUAAUCGGAAUUACUGGGCGUAAACCGCACGCAGGCGGUUUGUUAAGUCAGAUGUGAAAUCCCCGGGCUCAACCUGGGAACUUCAUCUGAUACUGGCAAGCUUGAGUCUCGUAGAGGGGGGUAGAAUUCCAGGUGUAGCGGUUAAAUGCGUAGAGAUCUGAAGGAAUACCGGUGGCGAAGGCUGCCCCCUGGACGAAAACAGACACUCAGGUGCGAAAGCGUGGGGAGCAAACAGG
rnacentral:rRNA from 1 species